UACGUAGGGCGCAAGCGUUGUCCGGAAUUAUUGGGCGUAAAGAGCUCGUAGGCGGUCUGUCGCGUCCGUUGUGAAAACUCGAGGCUCAACCUCGGGCUUGCAGUGGAUACGGGCAGACUAGAGUGCGGUAGGGGAGACUGGAAUUCCUGGUGUAGCGGUGAAAUGCGCAGAUAUCAGGAGGAACACCGAUGGCGAAGGCAGGUCUCUGGGCCGCAACUUGCGCUGAGGAGCGAAAGCAUGGGGAGCGAACAGG
rnacentral:rRNA from 1 species